GCUGACACCCUGGGCCCCGGAGCAGACGGCAGAAAGCUGGAAUCUAACUUCUGCUGCUUAGACAGGUGGUUUAGAGUUUCAGAGCCUCAUUUUUCUCGUCUGUAAAAUGGAGCUGAGAAUACCUGCCACAUCAAAUUGUGAGACUCAAACAGCGCACCACAUAGGACUCGCAGAGUGCCCAGCUCAUGGAAAGCUAAUAACGCAGCCUUUCUGUGAUGUGUGUGGUCGAGGGGCUGAAUCACAGGCCAGGUAGGUGCCCGCCAAUGUCCCUCCAAUUCUGAGAGCAUAUGAUUCUAUUCUGUAAACAUUCGGAAAAGAGCUAAGUAGACACCAGGAAACAGAUUGACUCAGGGGAGAAAAUUGUUCAAAAUAAACAGAACCCCCAUUGGGAGUUGGGGACUUGAGACCAUCCCAAGCACUUGCCCUACCUUGGCCUGCCUGUCCCCAUCUUAGGCAAGUUCCAAGGUCCAGUGUUGGGACCUAGUCCUUAGAGGACCUGGACAUCAUUAGCCCUGAAAAAUGUAUCAAGAGUCCCCAGACAGCCCGGCCCAUCCUAGAGAGACCAGCCUCCGCCAAGAACAGGGCCCGAAAGUUCUGAUUUGGCCAUCAUCUGUCCUAACCACAAGCCCUUCACCAGCCCAAGCCUCCAAACCGGCCAGAUGACGUCAUACCUCCUGGAGGGUGGCAGUGGUUCCUGUGUGCCAGCCCCCAGCUAGGAGGGGCCCUCGGCAGCUCCUGGAGCAGCCCUUGGCUCCCUUUCAAAGUUUCGUCAUCCUUCUCAUAUGUGGAUGGUCCCUCAGAGGUCCCCCGGAGCCAUAGGGUCUCAAAUUCUGGGCUGAAGAAGGUCUGGAGUGGGCCUGGAAAUCUGCAUAUUUAUAAGAACCCCCUGUGAGAAACGGAUUGGGCCCAGCUCCCUUUAACCCCCCGGGGAGGCUGAGCCUGAGAGGAGAUGUGACAGGCCCCGCGAGCCGAGUGGGUCUUAGGGACGGCGCGUGGAAUGUGGGGAGGUCACCUUCGCGGCUGGGAGCGCGUGACCAGUCAGUUGAAAAGCAAGCCGGAGCUUUGGGGUGCAUGUGACGUCUCCCUCAGAUCCCCGUCCCUGCAGGUAAUUCAUGCAGCGACAAAGAUGCCCUGGCUCCACAACACUGUUUGGGCGCCCCCUAUGGGCAGAGGCUGCCCUGGCUGGACGGGGUGGGGCUCCAGGAUGGAGACCUGCCUAGUGGGGCGGGAGAGAGGCAGAGGUAGUCCCCAGGGAUGCCCCAGUCUUACGGGGGAGUCAGAACCCUCCCGUGCACAGGCUCUGAGAAGGAGAACAAGGAGAAUUCAAGCUAGUGUUCCCUGGGCCGGGAGAAGAGUCUGAAGACGGAUCAGAGAAGGCUUCUGGAAAGGGCUUCGGGGACUUGAUGCAGGCUGGGAUAGAAAUCCCCUACUGGGGUCUCCCCGGCAUCCCUCCAGCUGCAGCCGGCACACAGCUACCCGUGUCUGGUUGUCCAGGAGGGAGCCCUGAGGCUGGGGAUCGUCCCUUGCCCCUGCCCCAGCCUGGCCAGCCAACACCCCAGCCGCGCUCCCCGCCUGCUUGCCCAGCCUGCGGGCCCCCACAUCCACCCUGCAGGUGCCCCUGCCCGACUCUUACCAUGACUGAGGUCUCGUAAGCUUCCCUUCACUGCCGCCCUUCUCGCCCCCCUGCCUCGGAGGCUCCUUCCCACUCCCGAAACUGGCUAACUCACCAGAGCCCACCCCUCCACCCACCUGGCCCCGGUGGGAAAACUCCCCACUUCAGAUUUAGGGGUGUUUGGGUCACGGUCCCAGAGGGAUUAAGAAGAGCCUCAGACUAAAGAGUCAGGAGGCCCGGCUUUGGGGAAAUCACUGGGCAAGGCAGCCUCAGUUUCUCCAUCUGCAAAAUGGGGCUAAUGGCCGCCUGCCCUGCUGGGUUCCCAGAGCGGGUGGGGAAUGCUCCAGUGAGCUCAUGGGUGUGAAGGCCCUGGUGAGCCAUAAAUAGUCC
ensembl:lncRNA